rnacentral:rRNA from 1 species
UAGCGGCGGACGGGUGAGUAACACGUGGAUAACCUACCUAUAAGACUGGGAUAACUUCGGGAAACCGGAGCUAAUACCGGAUAACAUAUUGAACCGCAUGGUUCAAUAGUGAAAGGCGGCUUUGCUGUCACUUAUAGAUGGAUCCGCGCCGUAUUAGCUAGUUGGUAAGGUAACGGCUUACCAAGGCAACGAUACGUAGCCGACCUGAGAGGGUGAUCGGCCACACUGGAACUGAGACACGGUCCAGACUCCUACGGGAGGCAGCAGUAGGGAAUCUUCCGCAAUGGGCGAAAGCCUGACGGAGCAACGCCGCGUGAGUGAUGAWGGUCUUCGGAUCGUAAAACUCUGUUAUCAGGGAAGAACAAAUGUGUAAGUAACUGUGYACAUCUUGACGGUCCUGAUCAGAAGCCACGGCUAACUACGUGC